rnacentral:rRNA from 1 species
GACAGAGGGUGCAAACGUUGUUCGGAAUUACUGGGCGUAAAGCGCGUGUAGGCGGCUCUGUAAGUCGGGUGUGAAAUCCCACGGCUCAACCGUGGAAGUGCACUCGAAACUACAGGGCUAGAGUCCUGGAGAGGAAGGUGGAAUGCUUGGUGUAGAGGUGAAAUUCGUAGAUAUCGGGAGGAACACCGGUGGCGAAGGCGGCGACCUGGGUCGAGACUGACGCUGAGGCGCGAAAGCGUGGGGAGCAAACAGG